CCGGCGGCGGCCGCGCGAGCGCACGCCUGGCGCAGCAGACCGGCCGGCGCGGCGAGCAGCGCGGCGGCGACGUGGAGCGGCGUGGUCUGGCCAUGCCUCCUCCGCGCAGCCUCGUCGAUGGCACGCGCCAGCGCCGCCGCCGCCUCCGGCGUGAGCGUCUGCUGGAUGGUGCUGAGAUCCGCUCUCAUCGCCGCCACCCGCCGCUCAUCAAUCGAUCGCAAGAACCGAAAAGACCCCCUUUUGGCUCGGUGACCAAGAAGUUAUUGUUGCCCGGCACCGACCUGGAAGUCGGAAGACGUCGGGGCUUAGGAAAAGGAGAGGCUUGGAGGGGAGCGGAGGUGUGGUGGUAUCGACUAUCGAGAGAGAAAUGGCAGGAAGGGAGGAGUCAGGUGAGGGCAGAAAGAGAAGGCGAGAACUGAAGUAGUAGUAGCAGAGGAGCAGAGGG
rnacentral:misc_RNA from 1 species